AUGCUAGCAAAGAGCUAACAGGAUGUUAACUGUCACUGUGCUGCACUGAGUGGUUGUUCCAUUCAAAUUUCCAUUCAAAUUUAGCUGAGUGGUUUACAGCACAUUUCUCUGUGGUGUAACUGACUCAGAACACAUUAGUGUUACUGCUUUACACAGACUUUAAUCUGGAGUGUUAACUGUCUAACCUGAAUCAGACAUUAACCAUAAUAUUACCUAUGACAGAAUAAUGUACCUGUCACUGAACACAACACUCAUCAAAUAUCACCAGUGUGUGGUGAAAAUACAAACAGUGUCUUUGGGAUUUAUGCUCAGGUGUUUGUGCAGAUGUAAAAAAAGCCUCUCUGUGUCUGACCAACCUCCUGCAGCACUCAUCCAGGACAGACAGAGGACAGACAGAUGUAGAGGAAAGACUGCAACUGUAUGCAGCUGCAGUGCAGGGUGGAGAACAGCUGAAUUAAUAAUGGGGGCACUUACAAAACAGAUUUGAAAAAAGUAGACAGUUGAUUCUUAAAUUUGAACUUUUCAUUGUAGUUUAAUGAGACCAACAUUUCUGUUUUUCUGAUUUAUUGGUGUCAGUCUUCUUGGGCUUUAUCUUAAGAUUUUAUGGAUUAAAUGGACAGAAUUUAUAAUUACUUACAGUUUUAGUGAUACUGAUCGAGGGUGUACUCAGUUUUGUUGAGUACUGUAUACAUGUUUGCAUAAACAGACAAAUUCCUCACAAUAUUAAUGAACGUUAAAAUGUCUAGAGACAACAGUAGAAAUGUGAUUUUUAUUUGUAAAACUCAGCUGCUGUUAAAGUGUAAGAUAACAGCAAACAGAAUGGCAGCUAUGGUAUAACACUGUAUGGCUACAUCUCUGAUGGUACAUAAAUGUACAUUGUUCCAUGACUUACAUCAUGUUUACUCAUAUCAGUCCAUCAGCAGUGAAGAGCACGUUGUGAUGUGUCAAAUAUGGCCGCCUGACGAGGAACAAGAUAAAAACAACUCACUGCUUUCUAAUCUGAUACACCACAAAACAUGAUGGAAAAAUACUGCACACAAAGUUGCACAACAAUUUUAACAACAUGGUUCACUGCACAGAACACAGGAAAUUAAUAAAUAGUGAACAGGGUCUUUAUCUAAUUUGACUACAGAGAACUGUAUUCAUUAUAGUUUAGUGAGAACGCUCUGUCUAUGAUCUGCUGCUGUUUAACAUUAAUGCAAACUCAACACUUCUUCAACUGAACCACUGUGUUGUGAUACUAAAACAUGUCCAUGUUGUUCUAUUGUUUUAUCAAUAUCCAAUUAAAGCUGUGUUGUGGUUGAGUUACUUUAAAAACUGGUAACUGUUGUAAAUAUAACCUCAUUUCCUUUUUCAAACCGUGGUGAAAAAUUAUUAAAUUAAAUGAUAAAAACUUAAUGUGUGCAUACUGUGGCCCCUGUGGCCCCUCCUUAAGGGAGCACAGGGUACUGCACUGCUUUCACAUGAUUUCAGGGUAUAUUAGCAGUUGUGAUUUGUCCGGCUGCCACUUCCUUGAUGACUCACAGAGAAACAAACAGUGAGAAACAGCUUCACUUAAGUUGUUUCACCUCUCAAGAUGUCCACAGACAUUCAAGCAGCAGAUUUGAACAACGGAGAGGAAAAAGAGGAAAGUCACGUGGAGAUCUCUGAGGAUACAGACACUUUGAAACACACUCAUGGUGAUCUUGGGUCCCAUAAAGUCAUAGCAGUCAGUCAAAGAAGCCACUGCAGGUUCACUGCUACAGCAAGCAUUCUGGGAGUGCUGUACCUCCUGAUACUGGCCGGGGUCUUCAUGCGCUAUAUUUUAGUCACGCUGGAAAAACUGAAUUUGGAGACAGAGAGAGACCAGCUCAAUGUCAGUCUGAACGAGGCGCAAAUUAGAAACAUCAACCUCACUCAAGAGAGAGAUGAACUACAGAGCAGAUAUGAUGACCUGAGCAGGAACUAUGCCAAGUUAGAGAAAGACAAGAACAGGCUGAGCACUUCUUUGGAUGAAUGCAACAGUCGGUGUUCACUAGGUGCCUUUAGUAUCAACUGGUGAGAUAUAACCGACGAGUCCAAGGGGACAGUGGAGAAGGAGAGAGGAGUGAGAGAGUGGAGAUCCUAAAGAAUGAAGACCAGUUCAUCAAUAUGGGACUACAGAAAACUGGACCAGGCAGUGAAAGGAAUCUUCCAGGUGCAAAAAGAAGCAGUUUCAGAGUCACUGCUGUGAUUCUGGGGGUGUUUUAUUUUCUGAUACUUGUUGGAGUCUUCACACGCUAUAUUUUAGUCACUGUGCAGAGAGACCAGCUCAACAUCAUGUAUGAACAGCUGAAACAUGAAUAUGACAACCUGAGCAUCAGUUACAACCAGUCACAGCAGGAAGUAGACAUGCUGAAGGGGAAGGGCUGUCCGGACGGAUGGAUGAGAAGUGGGUCCAGUUGUUACUAUAGAUUCACAGAGAGCAAAAGUUUGAAUGAGAGCAGAGAAGACUGUGAGGCGAGAGGAGGACAGCUGAUGAUCUUAAACAGCACAGAGAAACAAAGAUUCGAACAAGAAGCAGGUAAAGAGGCAUUCGUUCAGCUGUGUGGCUGAAGCAUGCCUCAAACGAAACACCGGGGGGAAGGAGAGGAGAUCACAGCACCUGCUCUGUCACGAUCACAUCUGAUCACAGAGCUGUUCUGCCUGAAACACAAUGUAAUCUGAGUCUGUCUGUGUAACAGUUACUGGAACAGCAGUGUCAGAUCACUGUGGUGUCUGUCGUGAGUUUCAUCCAUCUGAGUUACUUGUUGCUUUGUGUUUAGUGUUUCACAAGCGGCUCAUGUUUUGUCUUGUGCAGAGCAGAAUUUUAGAGAUAAGGCAAUUUUGUGUGUGUGUGUGUGUGUGUGUGUGUGUGUGUGCACUUGUGAACUGCAACAGUUAGAAAGACAGUAGGUACCUACCUUUUCUGGUUCGUGAAGGAUUCACAUCUGAUUUUGUUUUAUUGAUGUUAAUGAUAAUUUCAGUUUUUGUUUUCUGGUUGUUAAUUUUCAGAAAUGUUGUGUCUUUAAAUUGUUACUGAGAUUGCCUGUUUUGUUGAUUUGUUUUUAUGGUUUUAUGACAUGGUGUGUGUUUGUUUUGUUUUGUUUCGUGUGAAAUGUGUUUUAAAUGUCUGUGUUUCUGUCUGUUUGGUCGUGAUCUCUGAAAUGUUGCUGUGUUGUUCAUCAGGUUUAUUAAGUAUGUUUUUAUUUGUGUGUACAUUUUCUUAACUGUUGCUUUGUUGUUGUUUAGUUAUGUUUUUUUGUUGUUGUUUUGUUGGGUGUUUUAAAAUGUUGCUGUAUUUGUUGUAUUGUGUUUUCUGAUUUGUAUAUUAUAGUGAAUACACAUCCUGUUUAUGAAUUAUGACUGAGUCUGUUGUUGACGGUAAAUAUCUGCUCAUUGUUGUUUAAUCUCUUAUCACAGAAUCUAAUAAAGCAGAUGAAGCUAAACUAAA